GACGAACGCUGGCGGCGUGCUUAACACAUGCAAGUCGAGCGGUAAGGCCCUUCGGGGUACGACGAGCGGCGAACGGGUGAGUAACACGUGGGUGACCUGCCCUCCACUUCGGGAUAAGCCCGGGAAACUGGGUCUAAUACCGGUUAGGACCUCCUCAUGCAUGUGGGGUGGUGGAAAGCUUGUGUCUUUGAUGCUUGCGGUGGGGGAUGGGCCCGCGGUCUAUCAGCUUGUUGGUGGGGUGANGGCCUACCAAGGCGACGACGGAUAGCCGGCCUGAGAGGGUGAUCGGCCACACUGGGACUGAGACACGGCCCAGACUCCUACGGGAGGCAGCAGUGGGGAAUCUUGCGCAAUGGGCGGAAGCCUGACGCAGCAACGCCGCGUGGGGAUGACGGCCUCGG
rnacentral:rRNA from 1 species